UUUUUAUGAGAGUUUGAUCCUGGCUCAGGACGAACGCUGGCGGCGUGCAUAACACAUGCAAGUCGAGCGAAGUGCUUAUCAUGAAAUCUUCGGAUUGAUUGAUAAACCACUUAGCGGCGGAUGGGUGAGUAACGCGUGAGGAACCUGCCUUGCACAAGGGGAUAGCCUCGGGAAACCGGGAUUAAUACCCUAUGAUACUU
rnacentral:rRNA from 1 species